AUUUCAUUUAGAAAUAAAUUUAGCUGAAAAUGUGAAUCAACUAGUAUUCGAAUUUAGAAUCUCGAGUACCAACUGCCAAACCUGUUGCCACUUGCUCUAGGAAUAGUCCGUUAUACUAUAUUAAAAAAAAAAAAAGAGUACUACGCCCUUCGACUGAGGAAUUCUACACUGUCACACUUGUACCAGGUCAUCAAUAACAAGCCAAUCACAUUCCUUCUUUUCAAACAAAAGUACAAUAAAAAUAUUUUUUUACAAUCAUGAUGGAACAUAUAUUCUUAAAAGAAUUAAUUUGGUUGAUUUGUCACGCCACGUCACUAACAUACCCGCGGCAUUCUAGAAUUUUUCCCUUCGACUCCAUCGCUCUUUUCCUUGCUCCUUUCCUUC
rnacentral:lncRNA from 1 species